rnacentral:rRNA from 1 species
CAGUAGCCGCGGGAAUACAGAGGAUGCAAGCGUUAUCCGGAAUGAUUGGGCGUAAAGCGUCUGUAGGUGGCUUUUCAAGUCCGCCGUCAAAUCCCCGGGCUCAACCCUGGACAGGCAGUGGAAACUACCAAGCUGGAGUACGGUAGGGGCAGAGGGAAUUUCCGGUGGAGCGGUGAAAUGCGUCGAGAUCGGAAGGAACACCAACGGCGAAAGCACUCUGCUGGGCCGACACUGACACUGAGAGACGAAAGCUAGGGGAGCAAAUGGGAUUAGAGACCCCAGUAGUCCCUGUCUCUUAUAC